UAAUUGGUAGAAUAAUUAUUACAGCUGCUAUGACUAAAAGUGCUUAAAUUUCUUUUAGAUCUUGAUUACCAGCUGCUAUAGCUGCUCCUACUCCUGUUUCAGCUUUAGUUCAUUCUUCUACUUUAGUGACAGCGGGGGUUUAUUCA